rnacentral:rRNA from 1 species
UCGAGCGGAACGACUUAACUGAACCUUCGGGGAACGUUAAGGGCGUCGAGCGGCGGACGGGUGAGUAAUGCCUGGGAAAUUGCCCUGAUGUGGGGGAUAACCAUUGGAAACGAUGGCUAAUACCGCAUAAUGCCUUCGGGCCAAAGAGGGGGACCUUCGGGCCUCUCGCGUCAGGAUAUGCCCAGGUGGGAUUAGCUAGUUGGUGAGGUAAGGGCUCACCAAGGCGACGAUCCCUAGCUGGUCUGAGAGGAUGAUCAGCCACACUGGAACUGAGACACGGUCCAGACUCCUACGGGAGGCAGCAGUGGGGAAUAUUGCACAAUGGGCGCAAGCCUGAUGCAGCCAUGCCGCGUGUAUGAAGAAGGCCUUCGGGUUGUAAAGUACUUUCAGUCGUGAGGAAGGUAGUGUAGUUAAUAGCUGCAUUGCUUGACGUUAGCGACAGAAGAAGCACCGGCUAACUCCGUGCCAGCAGCCGCGGUAAUACGGAGGGUGCGAGCGUUAAUCGGAAUUACUGGGCGUAAAGCGCAUGCAGGUGGUUUGUUAAGUCAGAUGUGAAAGCCCGGGGCUCAACCUCGGAAUUGCAUUUGAAACUGGCAGACUAGAGUACUGUAGAGGGGGGUAGAAUUUCAGGUGUAGCGGUGAAAUGCGUAGAGAUCUGAAGGAAUACCGGUGGCGAAGGCGGCCCCCUGGACAGAUACUGACACUCAGAUGCGAAAGCGUGGGGAGCAAACAGGAUUAGAUACCCUGGUAGUCCACGCCGUAAACGAUGUCUACUUGGAGGUUGUGGCCUUGAGCCGUGGCUUUCGGAGCUAACGCGUUAAGUAGACCGCCUGGGGAGUACGGUCGCAAGAUUAAAACUCAAAUGAAUUGACGGGGGCCCGCACAAGCGGUGGAGCAUGUGGUUUAAUUCGAUGCAACGCGAAGAACCUUACCUACUCUUGACAUCCAGAGAACUUUCCAGAGAUGGAUUGGUGCCUUCGGGAACUCUGA